UCAGAAUUUGGUUGGAAAAAGUAUGUCAUCUGGGUACUUUUUGCCUGCUCUUUAAUGAGUACUGUGAAUUGGGACAUACGACUUUUGUCACACAGGUGAUGUAAGGGGACAUGAGCUAAGUUAAGCUAAUAAUUAUCUGUUUAUACUUAAGGAAUUGACUUUGUAUUUAGCACUUCUUCAAAUUGUGACAUUUCUAGGUGAGGUGAAUGGAUUAUUUUCACCAUACCCUCGUUGUUCAUUUAAUCAACUAAGAAGAACUGGGCAUUUCCUCCUUCACCAGCUCCUAGACAGAAGAAAAAGUGUGUGACAUACACGCAUAGAUUCUUUUGUCCGGCCAAAAGGAAAGAUUCAGAAAUCCUGAAGGUGGCCGAAAAAAUUUGAACUGGAGAGAGCAGGACUUGGAGAAAAAAAAAAUGAUGUUCUCUGACAAAUACUGUUGUUCUUCAAUCAGGAACUCGUACGCCAGUUCCCUAAGCGGGGUGAGGGUGGUGGCUUUGAGCUGUUAAAAACGAGAGGCUGCACCAGGACAAAAAUUCUCCAUCCUAUUCCGUGUCCAGAUACAGGUUAUUCCCCUGAAUACCUAUGCUCCGAUGCAGCUGGAAUAGGAGCAGCUACGAUUCAUGUCAGACCUCUUUGGAGAUUGUUGCUUCACUAAACUCCAUUCAUCUCUGUAUUUAGUGCUGUUUGCCUGGGGAUCACAUUCAGACAAUAAUAAUACCAGCUGUAUAUGGGGCCUUUGUUGAAACAAAUGGAUUGGAAAAUUGAGAGUGAUGAACAGCAAGCAGCAUACCAGUUUUGAAGAAACUUAUUACAUGGAGCUGAAGACCGGACACCCCUUCAGGUCACAACAGAUCUAACCAGCAGUGUGUAAGACAGAGAUAGACAGUUUCUGUCAUUCUACGAGUCAAACCCAACUGACUGGGCAUCCCCACUAUCAAUCAACCUUAAAGCUUGAAGAGCCGAGGGAUCCGACAGACGUGGAACGAUAGAGAGUGAACGAUCUUGCUUUUAGCUGGGACUUGCCAACAUUAACUAGAGAAAACCGGAAGUGGCUUGCAGAAACCGUUCUUCAGCAUGCGGUUAUCGGUCGCAGAGAGAAGCAGAUGAAGCAAAUCAAACGAGGUCUGAAGGAUUCUGGGGUUCUGCUCAUGAUGAAAGAACGGCCUUCUCUCAUCACAGUGCUGUUCCCAAAAUCAUCCUUCCUGAACUAAUGGAUUGUUUAUGGCUCUGAAAACAUGCGAUCGUUAACCAGACUUCCCAUUUCCUAAAAACCUGAGCAUUUAUGCUGUUUUCUUUGUCCAUAGAUGGUUUAGAAAGAGUUAUAUGGCCAAUGAUGAAGAUGAAGAUGAGGAUGAUCACGAGGUUCCUCUGGAGUUGAAACGCCAGAUGGCGUCGUACCUCAGGAAGUACAUCGAAAAUGGUAAUGAUCUUUUUACCACUAGAGCCCGACCGAUAUGGGUUUUCAGGGGCUGAUACCGAUAUUAGGAAGUAAAAAAAAGUCUGACAUCAACAUAUCGCCGAUAUUCUUUGUGUAUAUUAUAGGGGUGCGAUGGUUCAAAUUACCCAUGGUUCAAUUUUUAUCAUGGUUUCUAUGGUUUUGGUACGGUUCGGUAUGUGCUAUGUUCAGGCAAAAUAGGACAACUGUCAAAUAAAAAUAAAGAAAACAAGAACAAAUAAUCAAACUACAAGAAACAGCAGGUAUUUCAGGGCUCUCGUUUAUAAAACUUUCCGUAGAUUUCAUCCUAAAAAUGUACACGAAUGUACACACAAUCUGAUAUAAAAUAAAAGGUGCACAACCUUAUUAUAAAUGCAUCAUCAGAUUUGAGAUGAACCGGUGCAAGUGCGUGCCGAACAUGUUUAUAUCGGUGACAUAUCUGCAACAUAAACGCAGAUGCAGAUUUAUCUGCGACAGGCUCAUAUUGGCCGAUAAAAUCGGCAGACUGUUAAAUCGGUCCGGCUCUAGUUACCCCACAUUAA